CGUCUCUCUCCAUGUGACUCGUGGACUUCCCUUUGUCAUCCUAUGCCUGAGAAUAUAUGAAGGGGGCUGGGAAGGCAAAGGGACGUUCAGUUGUCAUCAUUGGC
rnacentral:pre_miRNA from 12 species